rnacentral:lncRNA from 1 species
GUUGGCCUUUUGUGUACCCAAGGCAGGUGAAGGAAGUCAAAUUAGGAGCGCUGUGAUUGGAUGUAAGGGUACAAUAAUUUUUUUAUUUAUCUAUGAAUAACUGCAGUGUGUAUAUUUACAAUAUAAAUUUUAAAACCUAUUGAAAUAUUUUCUAGAGAAUUAUUCGAAAAGACUUGCAAAAUUUCAUAAAUUUGGUGCAAAAUGACGGUGGGCAUGGAUAACAUAAACAAGUUCCGUUGGAAGUUGGUCAUGAUACUAUUUGGCUUUAAUUUUUAAAACAGAGUAAUAAAAUACUAACAC